GGGCCCGUAGCUUAGCUGGUAGAGCGCCUCGUUUGCACCGAGGAGGUCAGGAGUUCGAAUCUCCUCGGGUCCA
rnacentral:tRNA from 2 species